AUGGCCACACCUGUGGCAUACGGCAUAUGGCCAGGGAUUGAAUCUGAGCCAUAGCAGUGACCUACAGUGCAGCUGUAGCAAUGUGAGAUCCUUUAACCCACUGCACUGGGCCAGAGAUGGAGCCACUGCUUCCACAGCAGUCAGAUUCUUAACCCACUGCACCACAGCAGGAACUCCUUUAUUGAUAUUUUAAAAUUUAGAAGCAGGUAUAACUUCAGAAAUGCAAUGCAUGUAUAACAUCAAUUGAAUAAAUUCUUUCAAAACACAUUCUCAGCAAUUGUCAAGAACCACAUUUGUUUGUUCCUGUGAUUAUCUUCUGAACUUGUGUCUUUGCUGGUAAGUUUUACAGGAAUGCUCCUAGAUGACAAUGUUUUUGAUCACCAUGGAAACAUCAACCAUGAAGUUUAUAUCAAGCCCUCAUAGAAAGAGCUAAACAGAAAAAGAAUGUAAAAACAAUUUUUCCCUCCAUAGAGGUAGAUAAAUUGAACAUUCAGGAGAUCUAAAAUUCAAUUAACAUUUGGAAUGGAUAAGCAAUGAGAUCCUGCUGUAUAGCACUGGGAACUAUAUCUAGUCACUUGUGAUGGAGCAUGAUGGAGGGUAAUGUGAGAAAAAGAAUAUAUAUAUAUAGAUAUGUGACUAGGUCACUUUGCUGUACAGUAGAAAAUUGACAGAACACUGUAAGCCAACUAUAAUGGAAAAAAUAAAAAAUAAAAUUCAAUUGAGCAGUUCCCAUUGUGGCUCAGCAGGUUAAGAAUCUGACCAGUAUCCAUAAAGAUGGGGGUUCAGUCCUUGGCCUUGCUCAGUUGGUUAAGGAUCCAGCGUUGCCAAGAGCUGUGGCAUAGGUCAGAGAUGUGGCUCAGAUCUGGUGUUGCUAUGACUGUGGUGUAGGCUAGCAGCUGCAGCUCCAAUUCGACCCCUGGCCCAGGAACUUCCAUAUGCCACUGUUGUGGCCCUAAAAAAACUAAAUUAAAUUAAGUUCUAGCUAUAUAGAGAGAGCAAAUAUUAUUGGUUGGCUACCAAACAUCUUUAUUUUUUUCCCAACCAUUUCGGUUGGAUGACUGUGUACCCACCCCCAACACACAGCAUCCUUUUCAUUUUUAGAGAUUGUUCCAGGGGUAGGCAGACACAUGAUCCAGCUCUAACAAUGAAAUGUAAGGAGGCUUUGCAGGAUGGCUUCUAGGACAAAUUCCCCUCCCUUAAAAAAGAAGUAUGACCAGACGAAGGCCUGGUCACCACCUGUCACCCUCUCCGUACCCAGCUUUUGGCUUUGGAUACAACAUAAGGACAUGAUGCUUGGAAUUCUGACAGCCAUCUUGUGACCAAGAGAAAUGACAUAACACCCGAGGACUGCAGAGGAGAAUGAUCAGAGAAGCUUCAGUCCCUGGUAACAUUAUUGAACCAAUUAACCAACUAUCCUGGGACUAAUAAUUUCCAUCCAUUUCCAUCGGUAAAUGGUAGAUAUCUGUAUGGCUUAAGGCACAAUUAAUUGAAACAUCUUGACGUGUGUGUCUAUUUUAGGUAGAUUCUUCCAUGAAAGAGCUGUGAUUCUACACUACAGCUUCAUCAUUUGCAAAGAGAGAGAGACAGAGAAAGGGAGACUGUUAGGUGGUUCAAACUUAUAAGCCUUGGGGACCAGAAGUAAGGAUGAGUUAAAAGAGAGUUGAAGGCGGAGUUCCCGUGGUGGCUCAGUGGUUAACGAAUCCGACUAGGAACCAUGAGGUUGCGGGUUCGGUCCCUGGCCUUCCUCAGUGGGUUAAGGAUCCGGCGUUGCCGUGACCUGCAGUGUAGGUCGCAGAUGCGGCUCAGAUCCUGCAUUGCUGUGGCUGUGGUGUAGGCUACAGCUCCGAUUAGACCCCUAGCC
ensembl:lncRNA